UGUGUGUGUGUGUGUGUGUGUGUGUGUGUGUGUGUGUGUGUGUGGUAUGUGGGUACACACACAUGCAUACA
rnacentral:miRNA from 1 species